AGAGGCGAUGAAGGACGUGCUAAUCUGCGAUAAGCGUCGGUAAGGUGAUAUGAACCGUUAUAACCGGCGAUUUCCGAAUGGGGAAACCCAGUGUGAUUCGUCACACUAUCAUUAACUGAAUCCAUAGGUUAAUGAGGCGAACCGGGGGAACUGAAACAUCUAAGUACCCCGAGGAAAAGAAAUCAACCGAGAUUCCCCCAGUAGCGGCGAGCGAACGGGGAGGAGCCCAGAGCCUGAAUCAGUGUGUGUGUUAGUGGAAGCGUCUGGAAAGGCGCGCGAUACAGGGUGACAGCCCCGUACACAAAAAUGCACAUGCUGUGAGCUCGAUGAGUAGGGCGGGACACGUGGUAUCCUGUCUGAAUAUGGGGGGACCAUCCUCCAAGGCUAAAUACUCCUGACUGACCGAUAGUGAACCAGUACCGUGAGGGAAAGGCGAAAAGAACCCCGGCGAGGGGAGUGAAAAAGAACCUGAAACCGUGUACGUACAAGCAGUGGGAGCACAGAGCAAUCUGUGUGACUGCGUACCUUUUGUAUAAUGGGUCAGCGACUUAUAUUCUGUAGCAAGGUUAACCGAAUAGGGGAGCCGAAGGGAAACCGAGUCUUAACUGGGCGUUAAGUUGCAGGGUAUAGACCCGAAACCCGGUGAUCUAGCCAUGGGCAGGUUGAAGGUUGGGUAACACUAACUGGAGGACCGAACCGACUAAUGUUGAAAAAUUAGCGGAUGACUUGUGGCUGGGGGUGAAAGGCCAAUCAAACCGGGAGAUAGCUGGUUCUCCCCGAAAGCUAUUUAGGUAGCGCCUCGUGAAUUCAUCUCCGGGGGUAGAGCACUGUUUCGGCAAGGGGGUCAUCCCGACUUACCAACCCGAUGCAAACUGCGAAUACCGGAGAAUGUUAUCACGGGAGACACACGGCGGGUGCUAACGUCCGUCGUGAAGAGGGAAACAACCCAGACCGCCAGCUAAGGUCCCAAAGUCAUGGUUAAGUGGGAAACGAUGUGGGAAGGCCCAGACAGCCAGGAUGUUGGCUUAGAAGCAGCCAUCAUUUAAAGAAAGCGUAAUAGCUCACUGGUCGAGUCGGCCUGCGCGGAAGAUGUAACGGGGCUAAACCAUGCACCGAAGCUGCGGCAGCGACACUAUGUGUUGUUGGGUAGGGGAGCGUUCUGUAAGCCUGUGAAGGUGUGCUGUGAGGCAUGCUGGAGGUAUCAGAAGUGCGAAUGCUGACAUAAGUAACGAUAAAGCGGGUGAAAAGCCCGCUCGCCGGAAGACCAAGGGUUCCUGUCCAACGUUAAUCGGGGCAGGGUGAGUCGACCCCUAAGGCGAGGCCGAAAGGCGUAGUCGAUGGGAAACAGGUUAAUAUUCCUGUACUUGGUGUUACUGCGAAGGGGGGACGGAGAAGGCUAUGUUGGCCGGGCGACGGUUGUCCCGGUUUAAGCGUGUAGGCUGGUUUUCCAGGCAAAUCCGGAAAAUCAAGGCUGAGGCGUGAUGACGAGGCACUACGGUGCUGAAGCAACAAAUGCCCUGCUUCCAGGAAAAGCCUCUAAGCAUCAGGUAACAUCAAAUCGUACCCCAAACCGACACAGGUGGUCAGGUAGAGAAUACCAAGGCGCUUGAGAGAACUCGGGUGAAGGAACUAGGCAAAAUGGUGCCGUAACUUCGGGAGAAGGCACGCUGAUAUGUAGGUGAAGCGACUUGCUCGUGGAGCUGAAAUCAGUCGAAGAUACCAGCUGGCUGCAACUGUUUAUUAAAAACACAGCACUGUGCAAACACGAAAGUGGACGUAUACGGUGUGACGCCUGCCCGGUGCCGGAAGGUUAAUUGAUGGGGUCAGCGCAAGCGAAGCUCUUGAUCGAAGCCCCGGUAAACGGCGGCCGUAACUAUAACGGUCCUAAGGUAGCGAAAUUCCUUGUCGGGUAAGUUCCGACCUGCACGAAUGGCGUAAUGAUGGCCAGGCUGUCUCCACCCGAGACUCAGUGAAAUUGAACUCGCUGUGAAGAUGCAGUGUACCCGCGGCAAGACGGAAAGACCCCGUGAACCUUUACUAUAGCUUGACACUGAACAUUGAGCCUUGAUG
rnacentral:rRNA from 1 species